rnacentral:rRNA from 1 species
AUACCGCAUAACGUCGCACGACCAAAGAGGGGGACCUUCGGGCCUCUCACUAUCGGAUGAACCCCGAUGGGAUUAGCUAGUAGGCGGGGUAAUGGCCCACCUAGGCGACAAUACCUAGCUGGUCUGAGAGGAUGACCAGCCACACUGGAACUGAGACACGGUCCAGACUCCCACGGGAGGCGGCAGUGGGGAAUAUUGCACAAUGGGCGCAAGCCUGAUGCAGCCCUGCCGCGUGUAUGAAGAAAGCCUUCGGGUUGUAAAGUACUUUCAGCGGGGAGGAAAGCGACGGGGUUAAUAACCCUGUCGAUUGACGUUACCCGCACAAGAAGCACCGGCGAACUCCGUGCCAGCAGCCGCGGUAAUACGGAGGGUGCGAGCGUUAAUCGGAAUUACUGGGCGUAAAGCGCACGCACGCGGUCUGUUAAGUCAGAUGUGAAAUCCCCGGGCUUAACCUGGGAACUGCGUUUGAAACUGGGAGGCUUGAGUCUUGUAGAGGGGGGGUAGAAUUCCAGGUGUAGCGGUGAAAUGCGUAUAGAUCUGGAGGAAUACCGGUGGCGAAAGCGGCCCCCUGGACAAAGACUGACGCUCAGGUGCGAAAGCGUGGGGAGCACACAGGAUUAGAUACCCUGGUAGUCCACGCCGUAUACGAUGUCUACAUGGAGGUUGUUCCCUUGAGGAGUGGCUUCCGGAGCUCACGCGU